AGCACUUUCUGAGAAGCCCCGUGCAGCUGCUAACAGUGACUGCCUAGGGGAAAAUGGACUUGAAGGAGUAGAGGCCAACUUUUCAUUUUAUACCUUUCUAUACUUUUUAGGACUACCACCUAUGUACGUGCAUUUUAUUUUUGUUAAAUGUUCGCAGGGGAUAUCUGGCAGGACAAGGAACUGGCUGGAAAGGGGCGCGAGGAGAUCUUCUGGGUGACGGAGAUCCAGGUGGUGGUUACUCAGAUGUAUUUUAUCCUUCAAUGAGAAGUUUAUUUCGAAAACGUCCUGUGUCUCUUCCAAAGAUAGCUCCAGCUGGGCAAAGUGGCAGCUCUGUGGGCUCCAACGGAAGAGGCCAAAAGGCCCAUCCUCCUCCUGUCCCCUGGGUUCAAUUCACAGCCCUGCCUGUCUCUAGCUGUGUGAUCCUGGACGUGCCUCUCUGCUUCCUCAGCUCCUGCUUCAAGACAGGCCUAACCAAAUUUUGAGAAGUCCCCAGCAGAGCUCCCGACCCUAAUCAGAGAAGAAGAAUGAAUGUUCUGAGUGGGUACCACAUGGCAGGUGCUAUUCUAAAUACUGAACAGCUGUGAACCCAUUUAAUCCCCGUAAGAAACUGGUGAGCUUGGUUUCAUUUGACUCAAGAGGCCCAGAGACGAAAGCAACUGGUCCAGGGUCACACAGCCAGCAGGAAGUGGAUCAGGGUUGGAACCUGGGCAGUCUGGCCCUGAAGCGCUGCAGAAAGUAUUAUUUUGGGAGCAAAUAGGUAAUAGGUGGUGAGAGCCACCUAAAAAUACCCCUCCUCUCUGGCCCAGUAACCACUUCUAGAAAUCUGCCCUAAACAAGUAACUCAAAUAAAGCGAAAGCUGAGAUACACGA